rnacentral:rRNA from 1 species
GACUCUCGGCAAUGGAUAUCUCGGCUCUCGCAUCGAUGAAGAACGUAGCGAAAUGCGAUACCUGGUGUGAAUUGCAGAAUCCCGCGAACCAUCGAGUCUUUGAACGCAAGUUGCGCCCGAGGCCACUCGGCCGAGGGCACGCCUGCCUGGGCGUCA